GAUGAACGCUGGCGGCGUGCCUAAUACAUGCAAGUCGAGCGAACGGACGAGAAGCUUGCUUCUCUGAUGUUAGCGGCGGACGGGUGAGUAACACGUGGAUAACCUACCUAUAAGACUGGGAUAACUUCGGGAAACCGUAGCUAAUACCGGAUAAUAUUUUGAACCGCAUGGUUCAAAAGUGAAAGACGGUCUUGCUGUCACUUAUAGAUGGAUCCGCGCUGCAUUAGCUAGUUGGUAAGGUAACGGCUUACCAAGGCAACGAUGCAUAGCCGACCUGAGAGGGUGAUCGGCCACACUGGAACUGAGAUACGGUCCAGACUCCUACGGGAGGCAGCAGUAGGGAAUCUUCCGCAAAGGGCGAAAGCCUGACGGAGCAACGCCGCGUGAGUGAUGAAGGUCUUCGGAUCGUAAAACUCUGUUAUUAGGGAAGAACAUAUGUGUAAGUAACUGUGCACAUCUUGACGGUACCUAAUCAGAAAGCCACGGCUAACUACGUG
rnacentral:rRNA from 1 species